rnacentral:lncRNA from 10 species
GGCAACCAUGUGGGGAACACAGGAGAUCAAGUUCUUGCCAAUCCUAGGAAGGGUAUGGCCCCAAGUAAGAGGGUCGCUUCCCAGAAGACAGGACAACAAGCCUUUCCUCGAUUACAGAUGGGGAUGAUCACGCUAUGCCUGGAGCCCUUAAGAAAGUUCUUGGUCCCUAUAGAACAUGUAUACUACAGUUGUGAAUGCUACUCAUAGCUCAACCUGCUAGAGAAAGAGGUAUUUCAUAUUUCUUCUGAGUAUGAAUUUAGGCUUCCUAGAUUUAGUGAGUGACAAGACUAAAUACAUGUGGUACAAAAAGCAGGGCCAAUAUUGUGAAGAGGAUAGCUUUGGACUGCAAUUUCUUCUCCUUCUCUCUCUCCCUCCGUCUCUCCCCUCAUCAUCUUCAGUUUGACCACCAUAAAUCCGGCCUUAGAGCUAGGCAAAGACGAGAGUGGAAGACUACAGCAUGGGGCCUUGAAUGUAAGACAAAGGGUUACCUUGAGAAAGCGGUGGAAGAAGAGGCAUACGCGUCAAGAAUUGCUGAGGACGAGGACGUCCCCAUAGGAUUUUAUGCACAGGAGAAGAGAAUACCUGAGGAUGGGAAUUUAUAAAGAAAAGAAGUUUAUUUAGCUCAUGGUUCUGCAAGCUGGGAAGUUCAAAGAGCAUGGUGCCAGCAUCUGUUCAGCUUCUGAUGAGAGCCACAUACUGUGUAAAAACACAAUGGAGAUGGCCAAAGGGGAAGCAAACACUUGGGAAGAGGCAAAACAAUCAGGGGCCUUGUUGCAGGAAGUCAGGGACCCCGAACGGAGGGACUGGCUGGAGCCGUGGCAGAGGAACAUAAAUUUGUGAAGAUUUCAUAUCAGUUCCCAAAUAAUACUUUUAUAAUUUCUUAUGCCUGUCUUUAAUCUCUUACUCCUGUUAUCUUCAUAAGCUGAGGAUGUAAGCUCAGGACCACUGUGAUAAUUGUGUUAACUGUAAAAAUUGAUUGUAAAACGUGUGUGUUUGAACAAUAUGAAAUUAGUGCACCUUGAAAAAGCACAGAAUAACAGGGAUUUUUAGGGAACAAGGGAAGACAACCAUAAGGUCUGACUGCCUGCAGGGUCAGACAAAAAGAGCCGUAUUUUUCUUCAUGCAGAGAGCCUACAAACAGACGUGUAAGUAGGAGAGAUAUCGCUAAAUUCUUUUCCUAGCAAGGAAUAUUAAUACCCUGGGAAAGGAAUGCAUUCCUGUGGGGUCUAUAAAUGGCCACCCUGGGAAUGUCUGCCUUUGUCGUUUACAUAAGGACUGAGAUAUGCCCUGGUCUCCUGCAGUACCCUCAGGCUUAUUAGGGUGGGGAAAAACUCCGCCCUGGUAAAUUUGUGGUCAGAUGGGUUCUCUGCUCUCGACCCCCAUUUUCUGAUGUUUAUCAAGACAAUACGUGCACCACUGAACAUAGACCCUUGUCAUUAGUUCUGCUUUUGCCCUUUGCCUUGUGAUCUUUGUUGGACCCUUAUUAGUAGUUCUUCUUUUUGACUUUUGCAGCAUGUGAUCUUUGUACCUACUCCCUCUUUUACACCCCCUCCCCUUUUGAAACCCUUAAUAAAAAACUUGCUGGUUUGAGGCUCAGAUGGGCAUCAUGGUCCUCCUGAUAUGUGAUGUCACCCCCGGUGGCCCGGCUGUAAAAUUCCUCUCUUUAUACUGUCUCUAUUUCUCAGCCAGCUGACACUUAUGGAAAAUAGAACCUACAUUGAAAUAUUGGGGGUGGGUUCCCCCGAUAGGACCUGUUUAUAACAACCCACUGUCUUGGGAAUAAUCUAUUUCCAAGAGAAAUAACCCAUUCUGUUGCAAGCAUGAACUCACUCACUACUGUGAGAAAGGCAACAAGCUAUUCAUGAGGGAGCCACCCCAUAACCCAAACACCUC